GACGAACGCUGGCGGCGUGCCUAAUACAUGCAAGUAGAACGCACAGUUUAUACCGUAGCUUGCUACACCAUAAACUGUGAGUUGCGAACGGGUGAGUAACGCGUAGGUAACCUGCCUGGUAGCGGGGGAUAACUAUUGGAAACGAUAGCUAAUACCGCAUAAUAUUAAUUAUUGCAUGAUAAUUGAUUGAAAGAUGCAAUUGCAUCACUACCAUAUGGACCUGCGUUGUAUUAGCUAGUAGGUGAGGUAACGGCUCACCUAGGCGACGAUACAUAGCCGACCUGAGAGGGUGAUCGGCCACACUGGGAAUGAGACACGGCCCAGACUCCUACGGGAGGCAGCAGUAGGGAAUCUUCGGCAAUGGACGAAAGUCUGACCGAGCAACGCCGCGUGAGUGAAGAAGGGUUUCGGAUCGUAAAGCUCUGUUGUAAGAGAAGAACGGGUGUGAGAGUGGAAAGUUCACACUGUGACGGUAUCUUACCAGAAAGGGACGGCUAACUACGUG
rnacentral:rRNA from 1 species